rnacentral:rRNA from 1 species
CUAAGAAUAUUCCGCAAUGGACGAAAGUCUGACGGAGCGACGCCGCGUGGAUGAAGAAGGCCGAAAGGUUGUAAAAUCCUUUUGUCGGGGAAGAAUAAGCGUGGGAGGGAAUGCCCGCGUGAUGACAUGAACCGGCGAAUAAGCCCCGGCUAACUACGUGCC